rnacentral:rRNA from 1 species
UACGUAGGGAGCAAGCGUUGUCCGGAAUCAUUGGGCGUAAAGCGCGCGUAGGCGGCCUCGUAAGUCCGUUGUGAAAGUCAAAGGCUCAACCUUUGAAAGCCGAUGGAUACUGUGAGGCUAGAGUCCGGAAGAGGCGAGUGGAAUUCCUGGUGUAGCGGUGGAAUGCGCAGAUAUCAGGAGGAACACCAAUGGCGAAGGCAGCUCGCUGGGACGGUACUGACGCUGAGACGCGAAAGCGUGGGGAGCAAACAGG